GAACUUAAGCAUAUCAAUAAGCGGAGGAAAAGAAACCAACAGGGAUUGCCUCAGUAACGGCGAGUGAAGCGGCAACAGCUCAAAUUUGAAAUCUGGCUCUUUCAGGGUCCGAGUUGUAAUUUGUAGAAGAUGCUUUGGGUGUGGCUCCGGUCUAAGUUCCUUGGAACAGGACGUCAUAGAGGGUGAGAAUCCCGUACGUGACUGGGUGCCUUCGCCCGUGUAAAGCUCUUUCGACGAGUCGAGUUGUUUGGGAAUGCAGCUCAAAAUGGGUGGUAAAUUUCAUCUAAAGCUAAAUAUUGGCCAGAGACCGAUAGCGCACAAGUAGAGUGAUCGAAAGAUGAAAAGCACUUUGGAAAGAGAGUUAAACAGUACGUGAAAUUGUUGAAAGGGAAGCGCUUGCAACCAGACUUGCGCGCUGUUGAUCAUCCGAGCUUUUGCCCGGUGCACUCGGCAGCGCUCAGGCCAGCAUCGGUUUUGGUGGGCGGAUAAAGGCCUUGGGAAUGUAGCUCUCUUCGGGGAGUGUUAUAGCCCUCGGUGCAAUGCGCCCUACCGGGACCGAGGACCGCGCUUCGGCUAGGAUGCUGGCGUAAUGGUUGUAAGCGACCCGUCUUGAAACACGGACCAAGGAGUCUAACAUCUAUGCGAGUGUUUGGGUGUCAAACCCAUACGCGUAAUGAAAGUGAACGGAGGUGAGAACCCUUAAGGGUGCAUCAUCGACCGAUCCUGAUGUCUUCGGAUGGAUUUGAGUAAGAGCAUAGCUGUUGGGACCCGAAA
rnacentral:rRNA from 1 species